CAGUCGAACGGAGCUUAGAGAGCUUGCUUUUUAAGCUUAGUGGCGAACGGGUGAGUAUCGCGUGAGUAACCUGCCCUAGAGUGGGGGACAACAGUUGGAAACGACUGCUAAUACCGCAUAAGCCCACGGUACCGCAUGGCACUGAGGGAAAAGGAUUUAUUCGCUUUAGGAUGGACUCGCGUCCAAUUAGCUAGUUGGUGAGGUAACGGCCCACCAAGGCGACGAUUGGUAGCCGGACUGAGAGGUUGAACGGCCACAUUGGGACUGAGACACGGCCCAGACUCCUACGGGAGGCAGCAGUGGGGGAUAUUGCACAAUGGGGGAAACCCUGAUGCAGCGACGCCGCGUGGAGGAAGAAGGUUUUCGGAUUGUAAACUCCUGUCGUUAGGGACGAUAAUGACGGUACCUAACAAGAAAGCACCGGCUAACUACGUGCCAGCAGCCGCGGUAAAACGUAGGGUGCAAGCGUUGUCCGGAAUUACUGGGUGUAAAGGGAGCGCAGGCGGGAAGACAAGUUGGAAGUGAAAACCAUGGGCUCAACCCAUGAAUUGCUUUCAAAACUGUUUUUCUUGAGUAGUGCAGAGGUAGAUGGAAUUCCCGGUGUAGCGGUGGAAUGCGUAGAUAUCGGGAGGAACACCAGUGGCGAAGGCGGUCUACUGGGCACCAACUGACGCUGAGGCUCGAAAGCAUGGGUAGCAAACAGGAUUAGAUACCCUGGUAGUCCAUGCCGUAGACGAUGAUUACUAGGUGUUGGGGGAUUGACCCCCUCAGUGCCGCAGUUAACACAAUAAGUAAUCCACC
rnacentral:rRNA from 1 species